rnacentral:rRNA from 1 species
UACAGAGGUCUCAAGCGUUGUUCGGAUUCAUUGGGCGUAAAGGGUGCGUAGGCGGCGCGGUAAGUCGGGUGUGAAAUCCUGAGGCUUAACCUCGGAACUGCAUUCCAUACUGCGGUGCUUUGAGGACUGGAGAGGAGACUGGAAUUCACGGUGUAGCAGUGAAAUGCGUAGAGAUCAUGAGGAAGACCAGUGGCGAAGGCGGGUCUCUGGACAGUUCCUGACACUGAGGCACGAAGGCCAGGGGAGCAAACGGGG